UACCUGGUUGAUCCUGCCAGUAGUCAUAUGCUUGUCUCAAAGAUUAAGCCAUGCAAGUCUAAGUACGAGCUCUCGUACAGUGAAACUGCGAAUGGCUCAUUAAAUCAGUUAUGGUUCAUUUGAUCGUACAGUUUACUUGGAUAACUGUGGUAAUUCUAGAGCUAAUACAUGCGAGAAGCGCCGACCUCGCGGGAGGCGUGCAUUUAUCAGACCAAAAACCGGCCGCGUCUUCGGGCGCGUUCGCCUUGGUGACUCUGGAUAACUUUGCGGAUCGCACGGUCUAGCACCGGCGACGGAUCAUUCAAGUGUCUGCCCUAUCAACUUUCGUCGGUACGGUAUUUGCCUACCGAGGUUCUUACGGGUGACGGGGAAUCAGGGUUCGAUUCCGGAGAGGGAGCCUGAGAAACGGCUACCACAUCCAAGGAAGGCAACAGGCGCGCAAAUUACCCAUUCCCGAGGAGGGGA
rnacentral:ncRNA from 1 species